rnacentral:rRNA from 1 species
GAACUUGAGAGUUUGAUCCUGGCUCAGAACGAACGCUGGCGGCAGGUCUUAGGCAUGCAAGUCGAACGAGCGAAGCAGGGCUUGCCCUGUGGAACGAGUGGCGCACGAGUGAGUAAUGCGUGGGAAACUGCCCACCACUGGGGAAUAACGUCUGGAAACGGACGCUAAUACCGCAUACGCCGGAAACGGGAAAGAUUUAUCGGUGGUGGAUGUGCCCGCGUUGGAUUAGCUUGUUGGUGGGGUAAUGGCCUACCAAGGCGAUGAUCCAUAGCUGGUCUGAGAGGACGAUCAGCCACG